CUACAUACAGAAUGAGGGGAAAAAAACAUUUUCCUUAUUUACAUCUCUACCUCCAGCAGCAAGAACAGGGCCUUUUACUUAAUAAAUACUAAAUUAACUCUGUAUUAUCAGUAAGUGAGUAAAUCUGCCAGGUAUAAUUAUAGGCACUAAAGUCAGAUGAGACAAGUAUAGGAACAAUUAUAGUUCAAUGAAAGCAUGAAGGUGAAGGCAUCCAUCAGACUUUAGUUUACAGGGAAGUCUGAAGGGACAAGAUGAAACUCCGUGAAAAGGAGAGAAAGCAGGCAUUCCUGCUGAGCAAUCACAGGAUCCCUUGCAUGGUAUGCAGGCAUAUGAACAUUUUAACACUGGGUUCAUCUGGAAAUGGAAAAGGAGAUGGAGCUAAAAGCCAACUGAAGAAUUAGACCUGUGAAAUGAGAGAAAGGGAUGGAGGAUCAGGCAGGGAAAUUAAAACUGCAAUACAAACCUGGCAAAGUCUCUGACAGGCUCACAUGGAGCCUGGAGCAAAGAUUCCUAGUUAGAGGGUCCUGCAACAGGCAGAGGUGGUCCGGCACUGGUACCACCGUCUUAUUCAACCACUGACUGGGGCCCCCCAGAAGAGUCUGACUCCUCUCGAAAGCUGAGGCAGACAGGAGGUGCGGCUGGGCAAUCUGCACACACAGCAGUGACGCCUCCCUUGGAAGGACUCCCUAUCUAGGCUUAAGCCUGACUGGUGCAGGCAGCAACUGUCUGUUCCAUACACAUGCAGGGUGUGCAUGUUAGCACAGAGCAAGGCAUGAGGAGGGGCCAGAGAGAGGGCUUGAAGGGCUUGUGCAGGUCUCAGGAUUUUGGAUCUUAUCCCAUCGGCAGUGAGGGUCACUGGAAAGUUUUAAGUAAGGAAGCAAUGGGAUUUGCAGAUUUACAAAUUGGUUGGUUCUCUACAGCACUGAAAUAAAACCUGAAUGCAGGGCCAUUGGUGAGUAGGUGCUGGAAAAGCCCCUAUGCAAGCAUAAACAAAGAACCUGGUGUAGAAAUGGGGGGCGGGAGAGAAUUAGAGAGGCUCUAAGUAGGCAGGCACUUCUGCCUGUAAUGAUGGAUUAGACUUGAGGAGUAAGUAAGAGCAAGGAGGCUGGGACACCUUCUCGUUUUCUAGGACAUAAAAUUUCUGUAUGCUCUGAGAAUAAGCUUUAAAGGAAAUAAUAAAAUGAGGCUCACUGCAAACUUCUACCACACAAAAAGUUAAGUUGUCUAAUUAUCACAGCCAGAUCCUUGAUCAUCUCCCUGUAAUCUAGCUCGUGCUGUGAUUACACAGCACCAUGUCUCAGACUGGUGCCAAUUGUCAAACAAAGAAACACAGACUACUCAAUGUGAUUUGGAGCAUGGGGGUGGGGAGUCCCAGGAUCUCAGUCUCAAAGGGAAGCCUUAGACUGGAGGGGAGAGAAUGUAAAUGCACACAGGUAAAUAUUUAAAAUAAUAAAAACACAAGAAAACAAACAAAGACACCCCCACCACACAAACACAUAAAAUGGAUUGCUAUAUGUCAUAUUUAUUGGCACUGAAUUUGAAAGCAAAAUGAAAUGCCAAAAAUUAAUAUUAGGUUAUAAUGUUAUUUAAACUAAAUAUUUAAUGAAGCGUUUAUAUACAGAGUACCCAUGUGAAUUAAAUAAGCACAUAAGGCCAUUUAUUCCCUGAUUCCAGGAUACUUAUCCAGCAUCAUU